GUCUGGAUGGCACAGAAAGAUGUAGCUGUUGGAGCAAGUGAGAGAAGCCCCACGAGGCAGGGUCUGAUUGAGAGCAUCAUCUUCCAGGCUCAUCUCAUCCUUGUUAGAGGAGCCUGACAGCUCUGGCAGCAUCUUCAGGGAGAAGAAACGUGGUCUUGAUUGUCCAGACUAUGAUCCUUGUCCUCCCAGGUGCUGAGCAAACUCUUGUUGAUGGUCCUUAAUUCCCAAUUAAGCCAAUGAGCCCUCACUCCCAGAGUCCCAGAAGGCACCGAGGCAUUUCAGUCCCUUUGAAUUCAAUCCAAUUUAAGUGCUCCACGCCUUUGAAGAUCCACGUGUCAAGUCUUCCUGUACUGGUGAUGCUCAGAGGAAUAUGCCUGAAAAGUGUAGUAGCUGAAAACCUGUUGAAGAUAAUCAUAAACUUUCUCACUGCUGCACAUCAGAGAAAUCCCAGGAGCUCCUGA
rnacentral:lncRNA from 12 species